UAAACCUAAUUCUCACACACACCGACACGUCUUCCAGGGUGCCAAAGCGGGUUGUUAUUGACACGUAGCGGUUGGAUUGAUGGGGUGAGUGGAGGCCUAAC
rnacentral:sRNA from 1 species